rnacentral:rRNA from 1 species
UGGGGAAUUUUGGACAAUGGGCGAAAGCCUGAUCCAGCAAUGCCGCGUGUGUGAAGAAGGCCUUCGGGUUGUAAAGCACUUUUGUCCGGAAAGAAAUCCUCUGGGUUAAUACCUCGGGGGGAUGACGGUACCGGAAGAAUAAGCACCGGCUAACUACGUGCCAGCAGCCGCGGUAAUACGUAGGGUGCAAGCGUUAAUCGGAAUUACUGGGCGUAAAGCGUGCGCAGGCGGUUUUGUAAGACGGAUGUGAAAUCCCCGGGCUUAACCUGGGAACUGCAUUCGUGACUGCAAGGCUAGAGUAUGGCAGAGGGGGGUAGAAUUCCACGUGUAGCAGUGAAAUGCGUAGAGAUGUGGAGGAAUACCGAUGGCGAAGGCAGCCCCCUGGGCCAAUACUGACGCUCAUGCACGAAAGCGUGGGGAGCAAACAGGAUUAGAUACCCUGGUAGUCCACGCCCUAAACGAUGUCAACUAGUUGUUGGGGAUUCAUUUCCUUAGUAACGUAGCUAACGCGUGAAGUUGACCGCCUGGGGGAGUACGGUCGCAAGAUUAAAACUCAAAUGAAUUGACGGGG